rnacentral:rRNA from 1 species
GACGAACGCUGGCGGCGUGCUUAAUACAUGCAAGUCGAACGGAAAGGCCAUGCUCUUGUGGGGUGCACGAGUGGCGAGCGGGUGAGAAAAACGCGAGUAACCUGCCCUUGAAUUUGUGAUAAAUCCAGGAAAAAGGGGCUAUAAUCGGAUAGGAGCUCCUGCUGCAUGGUGGGGGAUGGAAAAAUUCGGCGGUGUUGGCUGGACUCGCGGGUUACCAGCUUGUUGGUGAGGUAGGGACUUACAAAGUCUAUGAAGGGUAGCCGGCCUGAGAGGGUGACCGGCGACAUUGGGACUGAGGUACGGCCCAGUCUCCUACGGGAGGCAGCAGUGGGGAAUCUUGCACAAUGGGCGGAAGCCUGAUGCAGCAACGCCGCGUUCGUGAUGACGGCCUUCGGGUUGUAAACCGCUUUCUCCGGUGACGAAGCGUGAUUGACGGUAAUGGGUAAGGAAGCACCGGCUAACUACGUG